CGAGAGGGAGUAAGAAAAGGAGUUACAAAAUGGCAUACAAUCUUACAAAUCACUUCAGAGUGGCGAAAAACCUCGCAACUUUCAGAGAACAGCCCAAAAGCAAUUCCUAAGGCAAUAAAUGGGAAGAAAUUCAUUUUUUGGGGGUUUGGAACACUCUAAGUGAGAGUAAAUAAUGAGAGAACGUUCAUUUUUGUGUGAACUGUUCCUUUAAAGAAGGACCACCAGGUUGCCAAGCCAGAGAGGGGGAUGUGAGACAGAGAAAGAGCAGAGGAGGAGUCUGGGUGAGCACUAUGGCUGCCAACUCGUUCUGUUAAGUUGAGAAGAAACAUCUGGAAACAUUUAUGUUGGAGAGAGGGAAAGAGAACUUCUACAGUCCCAACGGUUACAUCACUCAGAGGAACACAUCCCUGCCCCCAACACACUCAUCUGCACACACAUACAGACACACACACAACAACCCCCCAGUAACCCAGUACGAUUUCCUGCCAAUUCCAAAGUCGGAUCCCGGCUGGAACAUUUCAGUCAGUAUGCCACGUCACUUUGCCUCCCCUUUCGUCUCGCUCUCUCUAUCUUCAUCUCUCUUUCUCCAUUUAACACUCUCUUUUUGCUUGAGGAACCAUCGCUGAAGGACCAUUCCUUGCUGUUUUUCGUAUAACAACGCUAAAGUGCGAAAACGACGUUUGUACGCGGUGCAGAAUGUGAUAAAGAAGUCAUGACAGCAAAAUGGUCAGUAUUUGUCUUGAAGUAAUUGCAGAGGCCUGGAAUAUGUAUCGCUAUACAGCAGUGAACAUUGGUGUACAGUCUCAGUGCAGUGACCUGCAGUCCAGCCAUCCUUUUCCUCCCCCUCGCCUGCCCAGUGUUCAGACUACCUGUUCAUCACGCUGCAGCUGAACAGUAGUCCGCACAUUGGUUAGGCUGGGCAGGGACACACACACCCACACUGCAAGCAACCGGACUCUACCAUUUACCGCUGGAUGGGGGGAAAAUUGCAUAAACAUUCCCUCUCAAAGGGAUCAAGAGAGAAAGGGCGUGCUAAAACACACACAUGGGGCUUGAAUCAAAUUUGAAUGGUGACAGAGACAGUAUAAAUGGGAUGGACAACUCAUCGAAAAAUGAAUGGGAGAUAUUGCAAUGCUCAAUGUGGUGGCUACACAAACAGAAGUUCUGCCUUCAGUUAAACGAGCAAAUUAGUUUAAAAAAAAAAAAAGUAAAAAAUAAAUACAAAAUAAAAGUUAAUAAAGUUAACUUGUUUACUAUAGAACAUGCAUGCAGGUUAACUGGACCAGUAUAAAAAAAGAAAAAAUACAGAUUUUUUAUUUUUAUUUAAAUGAUCUGACAUUAAAGCAUUAAAGAACAAAAAUGUAUGAUA